rnacentral:rRNA from 1 species
GAUGAACGCUGGCGGCGUGCCUAAUACAUGCAAGUCGAGCGAACAGACGAGGAGCUUGCUCCUCUGACGUUAGCGGCGGACGGGUGAGUAACACGUGGAUAACCUACCUAUAAGACUGGGAUAACUUCGGGAAACCGGAGCUAAUACCGGAUAAUCUAUUUAACCGCAUGGUUCAAUAGUGAAAGACGGUUUUGCUGUCACUUAUAGAUGUAUCCGCGCCGCAUUAGCUAGUUGGUAAGGUAACGGCUUACCAAGGCAACGAUGCGUAGCCGACCUGAGAGGGUGAUCGGCCACACUGGAACUGAGACACGGUCCAGACUCCUACGGGAGGCAGCAGUAGGGAAUCUUCCGCAAUGGGCGAAAGCCUGACGGAGCAACGCCGCGUGAGUGAUGAAGGUCUUCGGAUCGUAAAACUCUGUUAUUAGGGAAGAACAAAUGUGUAAGUAACUAUGCACGUCUUGACGGUACCUAAUCAGAAAGCCACGGCUAACUACGUG